rnacentral:rRNA from 1 species
GCAUAUCAAUAAGCGGAGGAAAAGAAACCAACAGGGAUUGCCCUAGUAACGGCGAGUGAAGCGGCAACAGCUCAAAUUUGAAAUCUGGCUCUCGGGCCCGAGUUGUAAUUUGUAGAGGAUGUUUCUGGCGACGUGUCUUCCGAGUUCCCUGGAACGGGACGCCAUAGAGGGUGAGAGCCCCGUCCGGUCGUACGCCUAGCCUCUGUGAAACUCCUUCGACGAGUCGAGUAGUUUGGGAAUGCUGCUCAAAAUGGGAGGUAUACGUCUUCUAAAGCUAAAUACCGGCCAGAGACCGAUAGCGCACAAGUAGAGUGAUCGAAAGAUGAAAAGCACUUUGAAAAGAGGGUUAAAUAGUACGUGAAAUUGCUGAAAGGGAAGCGCUCAUGACCAGACUUGGGCUCGGUGAAUCAUCCGGCGUUCUCGCCGGUGCACUUUGCCGGCCCAGGCCAGCAUCAGCUCGCCUCGGGGGAUAAAGGCUUCGGGAAUGUAGCUCCCUCGUGGAGUGUUAUAGACCGUUGCGUAAUACCCUGGGGCGGGCUGAGGUACGCGUUCUGCAAGGAUGCUGGCGUAAUGGUCAUCAGUGACCCGUCUUGAAACACGGACC